rnacentral:misc_RNA from 1 species
AUAUUUAAAGUGAUUACUUUGGGAAAGUUAAAAGCAACGAGCAAAAAUAGGUGGUAUGGUGCAAUUGCUAUGGACGUGGAAGUGUGGGAACGUAGAGAUCUAGAGUGUUUUUGUGGAACUUAUAAAAGGAUAGGAACUGCAAACAACAAAUUUGACAACAUCAAGCAACACAACAAAUGAACUCAAAUACAAUGUCCUUUCAAAUCUCAAGUUUAUAUAAAUUCUAGUCAAUUUUCUUUUUGUUCUAGUAUAGCAAUUUCAAUUUUAGAGUCUUGUAUUUCUAUUUCCAGUAUUUAUUACAAAAUCAAACAAAAGUCCAUUUACAUUUCAGUACAUACAAGCAUUCUUAAUUUUUUGCAAUUUGUUUUCGAUUUCAUGAUGGCAAAACUGUGUUCAGUCUAAUCAGUUUCCCAUCGUUUGAUUUGUAGAUGUCAGUUUUAACGCAUCUUUAGUUGAUAUAUCUAGUGUCUAGCACACCGCCAGCCGGUUGUUUUUAAGCAAAAACUAUGUACUAGCUCUUAUCAGGCAGAUGUAAGGUGUUAAAAUUAAGCAACCACCCAAACAUGAUGCACGACUAUUAUGCCAAGUAAGGGAAAGAACUUUACCUACAUUGCUCCAGCUGGAGGGAAAGCACUUACUAACAUGUUAAGUAAUUUUUUCUGUUCUUUUAGUCUCGGAGUGUUUUUAGCAUAUACAUAUGAAGAUUAGAUUCAAAGCCUACUUCAAGCUUCCAAGUUAUUUAAGUUAUGGAUAAUGAGAAAUAUAUCUUAAAAAGCAGUUGCUCUUUUGAACUUCAUCAAUAAUUUAAAUUAUUUUGAAGAAGCAUUUUCUAGAUCUUUUUGAGAAGGUGAUUUUAACACGCUUCAUUCAUGCCUCUAAAUUGGGUAUUUGAAUAACAAGCUGCCCGAUGGUUUUUGGUUAACACAGGGAAUGGGCAUUGUUGUUAGAAUUGCUGCCAUGACCACUGAAUCAGUGUACAAGUUCUUACGGCAGCAGCUGGCUAGUAUGGAGCUCCUAAUUGGGGUUUUACCAUAUCGAUGAUCAAGCCUGUUGAUCGUUUUCUGUCACAGUUUACAGGGAUGUUCCAUAACUCAGUGGACCUUUGAAUGAUAGUGUUAGUGAAUUUGUAUGCAUUUUACUUUGUUUAGAGAUGGUGACAUUGUCGUGCUUUUGUUACCUAAGACUGCUGACUCCAUUUGUUUUACGAAAAAUAACUUAUAUAUGAAAAAUAUUUUUUAUG